UUCCGGAGCUAACGCGUUAAGUCGACCGCCUGGGGAGUACGGCCGCAAGGUUAAAACUCAAAUGAAUUGACGGGGGCCCGCACAAGCGGUGGAGCAUGUGGUUUAAUUCGAUGCAACGCGAAGAACCUUACCUGGUCUUGACAUCCACAGAACUUUCCAGAGAUGGAUUGGUGCCUUCGGGAACUGUGAGACAGGUGCUGCAUGGCUGUCGUCAGCUCGUGUUGUGAAAUGUUGGGUUAAGUCCCGCAACGAGCGCAACCCUUAUCCUUUGUUGCCAGCGGUCCGGCCGGGAACUCAAAGGAGACUGCCAGUGAUAAACUGGAGGAAGGUGGGGAUGACGUCAAGUCAUCAUGGCCCUUACGACCAGGGCUACACACGUGCUACAAUGGCGCAUACAAAGAGAAGCGACCUCGCGAGAGCAAGCGGACCUCAUAAAGUGCGUCGUAGUCCGGAUUGGAGUCUGCAACUCGACUCCAUGAAGUCGGAAUCGCUAGUAAUCGUGGAUCAGAAUGCCACGGUGAAUACGUUCCCGGGCCUUGUACACACCGCCCGUCACACCAUGGGAGUGGGUUGCAAAAGAAGUAGGUAGCUUAACCUUCGGGAGGGCGCUUACCACUUUGUGAUUCAUGACUGGGGUGAAGUCGUAACAAGGUAACCGUAGGGGAACCUGCGGUUGGAUCACCUCCUU
rnacentral:rRNA from 1 species